rnacentral:rRNA from 1 species
GGGCCCGCACAAGCGGUGGAGCAUGUGGUUUAAUUCGAUGCAACGCGAAGAACCUUACCAUCCCUUGACAUCCAGUGAACUUUCUAGAGAUAGAUUGGUGCCUUCGGGAACACUGAGACAGGUGCUGCAUGGCUGUCGUCAGCUCGUGUUGUGAGAUGUUGGGUUAAGUCCCGCAACGAGCGCAACCCUUAUCCUCAGUUGCCAGCACGUAAUGGUGGGAACUCUGUGGAGACUGCCGGUGAUAAACCGGAGGAAGGUGGGGACGACGUCAAGUCAUCAUGGCCCUUACGGGAUGGGCUACACACGUGCUACAAUGGCGCGUACAAUGGGAAGCAAGCUAGCGAUAGUAAGCGGAUCUCAAAAAGCGCGUCGUAGUCCGGAUUGGAGUCUGCAACUCGACUCCAUGAAGUCGGAAUCGCUAGUAAUCGU